UACGAAGGGGAGCUAGCGUUGUUCGGAAUUACUGGGCGUAAAGGGCGUGUAGGCGGUUUGUUAAGUUUGGCGUGAAAGCUCUCGGCUAAACCGGGAGAGGUCGUUGGAUACUGGCAACUAGAGGACGGUAGAGGCGUGUGGAAUUCCGGGUGUAGUGGUGAAAUGCGCAGAUAUCAGGAGGAACACCGGUGGCGAAGGCGGAUCUCUGGGCCUUACCUGACGCUCAGGCACGAAAGCUAGGGGAGCGAACAGG
rnacentral:rRNA from 1 species